rnacentral:rRNA from 1 species
GACGAACGCUGGCGGCGUGCUUAACACAUGCAAGUCGAGCGGUAAGGCCCUUUCGGGGGUACACGAGCGGCGAACGGGUGAGUAACACGUGGGUGACCUGCCCUCAGCUCUGGGAUAAGCCUGGGAAACCGGGUCUAAUACUGGAUAUGACUCCAUGACGCAUGUUGUGGGGUGGAAAGCCUUGUGCGGCUGAGGAUGGGCCCGCGGCCUAUCAGCUUGUUGGUGGGGUGANGGCCUACCAAGGCGACGACGGGUAGCCGGCCUGAGAGGGCGACCGGCCACACUGGGACUGAGACACGGCCCAGACUCCUACGGGAGGCAGCAGUGGGGAAUCUUGCGCAAAUGGGCGAAAGCCUGACGCAGCGACGCCGCGUGAGGGAUGACGGCCUCGG